rnacentral:rRNA from 1 species
UACGAAGGGGGCUAGCGUUGUUCGGAUUUACUGGGCGUAAAGCGCACGUAGGCGGAUCGUUAAGUCGGGGGUGAAAUCCUGGAGCUCAACUCCAGAACUGCCUUCGAUACUGGCGAUCUUGAGUCCGGAAGAGGUGAGUGGAACUCCUAGUGUAGAGGUGGAAUCCGUAGAUAUUAGGAAGAACACCAGUGGCGAAGGCGGCUCACUGGUCCGGUACUGACGCUGAGGUGCGAAAGCGUGGGGAGCAAACAGG